rnacentral:rRNA from 1 species
GUCGAGAAUAAUUCACAAUGGACGAAAGUCUGAUGGUGCAACGCCGCGUGGAGGAUGAAGGUCUUCGGAUUGUAAACUCCUGUCAUCGGGGAGUAAGACCUGGCGGUAAAUAGCCGACAGGGUUGAUAGUACCCGAAGAGGAAGGGACGGCUAACUUCGUGCCAGCAGCCGCGGUAAUACGAAGGUCCCAAGCGUUGUUCGGAAUCACUGGGCGUAAAGGGCGCGUAGGCGGCGUGGUAAGUCAGAGGUGAAAUCCCGGGGCUCAACCCCGGAACUGCAUCCGAUACUGCCAUGCUUGAGGGUUGGAGAGGUAGCUGGAAUUCUCGGUGUAGCAGUGAAAUGCGUGGAUAUCGAGAGGAACACUCGUGGCGAAGGCGAGCUACUGGACAACAUCUGACGCUGAGGCUCGAAGGCCAGGGGAGCAAAAGGGAUUAGAAACCCCGGUAGUCC